GAAACGCUGCAACGGAUCAUCACUGACUUUUAAUCAGUAGGUCGCUGGUUCGAACCCAGCAGGGCUCACCA
rnacentral:tRNA from 1 species